CAAUCGUCUGUCGACGGAAGUUGCGUCACCAGAAAACAACGGCACCAUCGCUAAGGAAAGUCGCUUUUCUUGUAUCUUUACAUGGCGACAUCAGCAAUUCGCGUUGUUAAUCCAGAUGCCCGUGCACACCGUCACUCGGCCCUACUUAAGACAACCAAAGAGGCUCGUUAGUACCGGGUGAGAAGUUUGGUCUUCCCCAAACCUCCAUUGGAGCUGCUCAGCCAAAUCACUGCAUUGACUCACGCAGAGAAGCUUCUCCGAGCAGAGGGUAUCCACGCACCUUCACGUCAGCAGUGUCUGGGAGAGCUGGUGGUGCCAUUAGGACAAUAUGAAAAGGCACCGCUGCGAUGGCUCGUUACAAACGAUGUGGGAUAUAUGAAGUAAUGUACUAAAGUCCCAACACUCCUCGUCUGCAAGUUAACUUCUGGAGUGAAGUCUGACAAGUCUUUUUGUGGCACUCUGUUGGAGUGUGAAAGUGCUCCUUGAAGUAUCCUCAAGCUGAUAAGUGUGAAUGUGAGCUAGGGCU